rnacentral:snoRNA from 1 species
GCCCUCCUCAGGAUCUCACCUGGAGAGUAUCCAGUACUCUACCAGUCUCAGCUACUGGAGGGAGAGUCAAGCAGAGGCAUUCCUAUUCCAUUCCUAGCUCGGCUAGUGGCUAACGAGUGGAAGACAAUCUGCUACAAGU